UUGACCUCGGAUCAGGUAGGAAGACCCGCUGAACUUAAGCAUAUCAAUAAGCGGAGGAAAAGAAACCAACAGGGAUUGCCCUAGUAACGGCGAGUGAAGCGGCAACAGCUCAAAUUUGAAAUCUGGCUUCGGCCCGAGUUGUAAUUUGCAGAGGAAGCUUUAGGCGCGGCACCUUCUGAGUCCCCUGGAACGGGGCGCCAUAGAGGGUGAGAGCCCCGUAUAGUUGGAUGCCUAGCCUGUGUAAAGCUCCUUCGACGAGUCGAGUAGUUUGGGAAUGCUGCUCAAAAUGGGAGGUAAAUUUCUUCUAAAGCUAAAUACCGGCCAGAGACCGAUAGCGCACAAGUAGAGUGAUCGAAAGAUGAAAAGCACUUUGAAAAGAGGGUUAAAUAGCACGUGAAAUUGUUGAAAGGGAAGCGCUUGUGACCAGACUUGCGCCGGGCGGAUCAUCCGGUGUUCUCACCGGUGCACUCCGCCCGGCUCAGGCCAGCAUCGGUUCUCGCGGGGGGAUAAAGGCCCUGGGAACGUAGCUCCUCCGGGAGUGUUAUAGCCCGGGGCGUAAUGCCCUCGCGGGGACCGAGGUUCGCGCAUCUGCAAGGAUGCUGGCGUAAUGGUCAUCAGCGAC
rnacentral:rRNA from 3 species